UUAAAGGAAUUGACGGAAGGGCACCACCAGACGUGGGGCCUGCGGUUCAAUUUGACUCAACACGGGUAACCUCACCAGGCCAGGACACUGGUAGGAUUGACAGAUUGAGAGCUCUUUCUUGAUUCGGUGGGUGGUGGUGCAUGGCCGUUCAUAGUUGGUGGGACGGCCUGUCUGCUUAAUUGCGAUAACGAACGAGACCCUGACCUACUAACUAGUCGAAUCCGCCAUCCCUUGCGCAGGCGGCGACUACCAGUCUUCUUAGGGGGACGGGCUGCUUCUAGCAGCACGAAGUGGGGCAAUAACAGGUCAGUGAUGCCCUUAGAUGUUCUGGGCAGCACGCGCGCCACACUGAAGGGUGCAGUGAGUGUGUUCCUAGCCCGAGAGGGCCGGGUAACCCGCCCAAACCCCUUCGUGCUUGGGAUUGGGGCUUGCAAUUGUUCCCCAUGAACGAGGAAUGCCUAGUAAGCGGAAGUCAUCAGCUUCCGUUGAUUAUGUCCCUGCCCUUUGUCCACACCGCCCGUCGCUACUACCGAUUGAAUAUUUUAGUGAGGUCCUCGGACCAGCCUGAGACUUCCCUCCAGGGUGUCCCCGGCAGGGAAGACGAUCGAACUUGAAUAUUUAGAGGAAGUAAAAGUCGUAACAAGGUUUUC
rnacentral:rRNA from 1 species